rnacentral:rRNA from 1 species
GACGAACGCUGGCGGCGUGCCUAAUACAUGCAAGUCGAGCGCAGGAAACCGUCUGAACCCUUCGGGGGGACGACGGCGGAAUGAGCGGCGGACGGGUGAGUAACACGUAAAGAACCUGCCCAUAGGUCUGGGAUAACCACGAGAACUCGGGGCUAAUACCGGAUGUGUCAUCGGACCGCAUGGUCCGCUGAUGAAAGGCGCUCCGGCGCCGCCCAUGGAUGGCUUUGCGGUGCAUUAGCUAGUUGGUGGGGUAACGGCCCACCAAGGCGACGAUGCAUAGCCGACCUGAGAGGGUGAUCGGCCACACUGGGACUGAGACACGGCCCAGACUCCUACGGGAGGCAGCAGUAGGGAAUCUUCCACAAUGGACGAAAGUCUGAUGGAGCAACGCCGCGUGAACGAUGAAGGCUUUCGGGUCGUAAAGUUCUGUUGUAAGGGAAGAACAAGUGCCGCAGGCAAUGGCGGCACCUUGACGGUACCUUGCGAGAAAGCCACGGCUAACUACGUGCCAGCCGCCGCCGUAAAAC